GAUGAACGCUGGCGGCGUGUCUAAGGCAUGCAAGUCGAACGGACUGAUGGUAUCAGCAAUGAUGUUAUCGGUUAGUGGCAAACGGGUGAGUAACACAUUAGCAACCUGCCUCGAAGUUCAGAAUAACGGUCCGAAAGGACCGCUAAUACUGGAUGUGACCAUCGGAUGAUGUCCGAUGAGGAAAGCCCAAAAGGCGCUUCGAGAGGGGCUUAUGGCUUAUCAGCUAGUUGGUGAGGUAAUGGCUCACCAAGGCUAUGACGAGUAGCAGGCGUGAGAGCGCGACCUGCCUCAGUGGAACUGAGACACUGUCCACACNCCUACGGGAGCUGCAGUCGAGAAUCUUCCUCAAUGGGCGAAAGCCUGAAGGAGCGACGCGCGUGCGGGAUGAAGGGCUUCGGCCUGUAAACCG
rnacentral:rRNA from 1 species